rnacentral:rRNA from 1 species
GACGGAGGAUGCAAGCGUUAUCCGGAAUGAUUGGGCGUAAAGCGUCCGCAGGUGGCAGUUCAAGUCUGCUGUCAAAGACCGGGGCUUAACUUCGGAAAGGCAGUGGAAACCGAACAGCUAGAGUAUGGUAGGGGCAGAGGGAAUUCCUGGUGUAGCGGUGAAAUGCGUAGAGAUCAGGAAGAACAUCGGUGGCGAAGGCGCUCUGCUGGACCAUAACUGACACUCAGGGACGAAAGCUAGGGGAGCGAAUGGG